GUUUCCUUUCGUUUCCGGGACCAGCCUGCUGUUAGUGUUACGUUUUUAAAUUUAGCGCCAGGAGAGGCGCUCUGAGUACCGGCGCGGGGCCGCAGGCAGCGGGAAGGGUCGGCGGCCUCUCCCUCGCAGCUCUGCCAGUGCUACCAAGUGACUCAUGAGGAGGGGAGCUUCUGCAGUGUGGAUCUGCUGGACCAAGGGAGGAUUCAGGUCCUUUGCAGGAUGAAGCUGGAUGGUGCAAGAUUUCUUCACACCACUCAGAACACUGCACAAUUUAAAACUUAAGAAUUGUUUGUUUCUGGAAUUUUCCAUGUAAUAUUUUUGGACCAAGGUCAAUUGGGGGUAACUGAAACCCUGGAAAGUGAAACUUGAAAUAGGGGGAGCUACUAUACAUGACAAAUGUUACCCAAGAUUCCCUUGCUCAGAUAUUCAUACCCGUUUUUAUUUUUCUCUGAUCCUUUCCAGCCCUUGGCUGUAUGAAUGUGUAUUUUUGUGGUUGUCACAGUUUAGACUAUUUUGUCUGCUUUUCUCACUUAACAGUGUCAUAAGCAUGUAUCCCUUCAUAUCAAGAGCUAUCAUUGUUAAUGGAGGCAUGAUAUUUAACAUUACUGGUAUAGGAUUAGUUAUCCAUUCCCUAGUAUGCAGUAAGUAUUUAGAUUAUUUCAAACUGUUAUUAUAAAUAAUGCUACAAUGUUUAUUGUAUAUGGAUUGUGUGUACAGCAGUGUGACACAGUGAUUGAUGUGCAUAUACACACAUAGAUGCUUUGUAUCUAAUGAAAAAAAAUUAGAUGCAGGAAAUUAUUUUUAGCAGAAUACCAUGUAGGUUAAUUUAAAAGGCACAAAGAACAACACUAUGUACUUUACAAGGAUACGUACGUAUUUAAGGCCAUGUCAAGCACAUUAAAAAACAUGGGUGUCUUUACAUGUAGCCAACAAACAUGAAGAAAAGCUCAACAUCACUGUUCGUUAGAGAAAUGCAAAUCAAAACCACAAUGAUAUACCAUCGCAUGCCAGUCAGAAUGGCAGUUGUUAAAAAGUCAAGAAACAACAGAUGCUGGUGAGGCUGGGGAGAAACAAGAACGCUUUUACAUUGUUGAUGGGAAUGUAAAUUAGUUCAACCAUGUGGAAGACAGUGUAGUGAUUCCUUAGAGAUUUACAAUUAGAAAUACUAUUUGACCUAGGGAUCCCAUUACUGGGUACAUACCCAAAGAAAUAUAAGUCAUUCUGUUAUAAAGAUACAUCAUGUGUAUGUUCAUUGCAGCACUGUUCAUAAUAGCAAAGACAUGGAAUCAACCCACAUGUCCAUCAGUGAUAGACUGGAUAAAGAAAAUGUAGCACGUAUACACCACGGAAUACUAUGCAGCCACAAAAAGGAACGAGAUCAUGUCCUUUGCAGAGACAUCCUUAGCAAACAAAUGCAGGCACAGAAAACCAAAUACCACACUUAUAAGUGGGAGCUGAACAAUGAUAACACAUGGACCCAGCGAGGGAAACAACACACACCAGAGCCUGUCAGGAAGGGUGGUGGAAGAGGAGAGCAUUAGGGAAAAGAGCUAAUACAUGCUAAGCUUAAUGCCCAGGUGAUGUGUUGAUAGGUGAAGCAAACCACCAUGGCACACAUUUACCUAUAACAAACCUGCACAUCCUGCACAUGUAUCCUGGAACUUAAAAAAAAAUGGGUGUCUUUAAAAUGGCAUGGAGUGGGAGAAAGAAAUGGGUAAGGAAGGAGGAGCAGGAUAAAUUAAAUGAGAAGGCCAGGCUCACAUGGGCAAUGGUCAGGGUACUCUGAGAAAACAAUGAACUCUGCCCUUUCUGUAAAUAAUUUCCUUUAUCAUUUAAAAAAAUUAUGUAAGUACCUUUUUGAAAAGGAGACCAUUACUCACAGACUGACUCCAGAUCCCCAUUGUCUUCAAGGUAAAGUCUAAAGUACUAAGCUUUGAACAUACAUCCCUUGAGAUAUGGUCCUACCUGGACUCCCCAGCUGCAGUUUCCACCACCUACCUCCCUCUCUACCCACUCCACAGUAUGGCAACAGGGAACUGCCUGUGGUUCUCUCCUCUGUCACAUCCAACAUUUGGUAUUGUAUCCCCAAAGCUGAGACCAUCCUGUUCUCCACAAGCCUCAUUCCUUUCCUUCUCCCUCACCCUUUACCACUGCCAGGACAACUGUCACUCAUCCAUCAGGUCUCACUAAGUGCCUUCUCUUCCUGCCUCCUCAUACCAUUCCCAAGAAUAAGCGAGAACCCUCCAAUUUCACCAGCUAGUGGAACCAGUCAGUUCCUUGAGGGAAGAAUAACAUCUAGAAAUUCACCACUAUAUUGGCAAAAAAUUACAGUGAUUUCACUGAGUACUAACUGUGCUGAGCACUGCACUGAGCAGUUAAUUCGGAUGAUCUCUUUCAGCCCUUCAACAGUAUUAAGGGUAUUAUUGUGCUUACCCACAUUUUACAGAGGAAAAAUGUAGAGUCUAGAGAGAUCAAGUACCUGCCUAUGAUGACAGGACUAGCAAGUGGCUGAGCAGGAAUUCCAACCCAGGCCUUAGGACUCUAGAGAUGGGGCUCUUCACUUUCCUUCCUUCCCUGGUGUCCCUAUGCCUGGGACAAAGUAAUAUGGAAACAUAGCGUGUGCUGAGCAAAUAUUUUUCAAGUAAAUAUUUAUGCAGAUAGCUAGGCAGUCGUGGCUUCUGGUAUUCCCAAUUUUAAAAAUGAAAACAAAUUGAUUACAUCCAAUAUAUCAUAAAAUAGUCUGUGAAUUACUUUCAGUACUAAUCUGUACUAGUUACACUAACAAGAGUCAAGCAGGUUGUUCUUCAAAGAAUAAGAAGGCAGCAGCAACUUUAACACCUGUGAGUAGAAAAUCAGAUAGUCUUCUAAAUGCUGGAAGCAAUACAUGUUUGGUUUUUAGUAAAAAGGAAAAAAAAACUGGGUGAGGCACAGGAGAAAAAUUCAGUGCCAAAUAACCUUUAGCAAUGCUUAGUGGUAAUUAGAGCAAGGAGACAUUGUAUUAAAGGUAAUGGAAGAAAUUUUCCCAUCUAUAUUGUUAAAAACCUGUAAGAAUGUUUCUUUCAAAGCAAACUUAAAAUUAAAAUCCAUGUUUAUGAUUAUUUCUCUCAGGAGAAAAGGUUGUUCUCUUUUACCAAAUUUUUCUGUCAUCAAAUGCUCAUCAAGUGACAACAGAGAAAGCAACAUAGUCCUUUAGCAUCAGAUUGGGAGAAGACUCUGCUCUUGAAGUAUCAACUAUGUAGAAAGGGGGCAACCUAUGUAGUACAUGGGGUGCUGGUCAAUGCUAAUAGCUGGCUCUCAGGGAAAAAGAAAACACAUCAGUGGCAUCUACUGAUUUCUAUGGUGUAAAUACUCUCAGCUCUGGCAAUUUCAAGCCAUCAAUUUGACAUUGCUGAACCCAAAGUUGACUUAGGAUGUGCACAAUUAAUUGGCUUUUGGGAGCAAGCUUGUGCAAAAGACUUGAGACAGCUCACGAUGAAGUGCUCUGUAUUAGGCAGGGUGAUAUUGGUUGCAAGUGACAGAAACCCAAUCAGAAGCUCACUGAAGCCAUGAGGAAUACUCAUUGGCUCAG